GGGCUUAUAGCUCAGUGGUAGAGCAAUUGACUGCAGAUCAAUAGGUCACCGGUUCGAAUCCGGUUGGGCCCU
rnacentral:tRNA from 1 species